rnacentral:lncRNA from 12 species
GCUGCGCGGGAGACUUAGCACACUACACUUUGUGCAGCCUACAUGGUUUUUGUUCAUCUUUUGAAUUCCACGUCCUAUCUCCCUGAAUCUUUUUCAGCUUCUCAACGGCAGGGCCCUUGCCUCCUAGUUUUAUUCCCAGGGCCAUACUUACGGCUGCUGAGUACCCAGAGAUUAACACUUGCCUGGGAAGACCGUAAAGCAGGACCUGAAAUUGAGAAAUACAUAGAUAGUUUGUAUAGAUGUUAUUGCCAAAUGAAUUUUACAAAUGAGGACAUUGAAACUUAUAUAGGUGGUAUCCUGAUAGUCCUAGAGCUACAAAGUAGUAAGGCAGUGGUUCUCAAAGUGUAGCUCCUUGGACCAGCAGCAUCAGCGUCCACUGGAACUUGUUGGACAGGUGAGUUCUCAGGCUUUCCCCUGGGUGUAUGGAAUCAGACACUCUUUGGGUGGAGU